AUAUCACAUUGAAACACUGGUUUCCAUAUGAUCACCAAAGUGAAGCCAUGUCGAGCCCUAUCAGCACCUAGUUUGGUGACCACUUAGGAAUAACAGAUGCUGUAAG